UACGUAGGGGGCGAGCGUUGUCCGGAAUCAUUGGGCGUAAAGCGCGCGUAGGUGGCCUCGUAAGUCCGCUGUGAAAGUCCAAGGCUCAACCUUGGAAAGCCGGUGGAUACUGUGAGGCUAGAGUACGGAAGAGGCGAGUGGAAUUCCUGGUGUAGCGGUGGAAUGCGCAGAUAUCAGGAGGAACACCAAUAGCGAAGGCAGCUCGCUGGGACGUUACUGACACUGAGGCGCGAAAGCGUGGGGAGCGAACAGG
rnacentral:rRNA from 1 species